rnacentral:lncRNA from 10 species
GUCCCUGACUCUGGGUCACCUUGAGCUAGCCGCUCCUCCUCUCUGCCUUUCCCCUUUUUAAAAUAAGGGAGUGAGACCAGAAUCUGCUUUCUAAGGACCCGCCAGGCCUGCUUUUCUCAGGUGUCAGUAACUCAAUAACUGGAACAACAUAAUCAUUUCCAUCCUACAGCUGUGAAAGUCAGAGCGUUGCACGUGCUUCAUCUCAGGUGGACUUAAUAACUGUCCCUCUCUUCCCAGCUCUGUGCAUUUUAAAGAGGAGUCUGGGGAUGUCUCUGCUGCUAAUGGUGGAUUUCAGUUGCCAGAGAGGAAAGAAAACAAACAUUUGCAGGAUGCUUGUGCUUUCCUUGCAAAUGUUCUUUAUUAAUCUUUGCAGAGGUAGAGUCCACUAUCCCCGUUUUACAGGCAAGGAAACUGGGAUUCAGGCCACACAACCGGAUUCUGACAAGUCCGGAGUACGUCCCCUCAUCAUCAGGGCAGGAGGUAACGUGCUGAAUUUAAUAGCAAAGCAAAUUUUGCUGGAGAAGAAAUGAGAUUUCUUUGUCAAGGAAACAGCCGGAGGAACUUCAGCAAGAAACAUGAAAAUAAAGCACAGAGCACGGCCUCCUGACCAGUCAGCAGAGGGGAAAGUCCCCACCAAGUGUGGAGGGAGCAUUCGAGCCCUGCUCCCUGCCAGCCCAGUGCUGGUGCAAAGGGGCUCUCAGAAAGUCACCCAAAUUGCCUCUGACACUUCACCAAUUAAAAUGACUUUAGGACAAGUUGAAAUCAACUUAGGGAGUGAAGCAUUCUGAUUUCUGAGACUCUCCCAAGGCAGCGGGGAAGGCAAGUGUCUGAGCAGGUUGUCACUCACUCAGGAGUAAUGAUGGGAAAAUCCAUCCCGGUAACGUGAUUGAGUUUGGUGAAUUAGUAAGGAUGUUUACACUGUGUGCUGCAAGUUGGAGUGGGGCUGGCAGGGGUUUUGACACAUGUGGCAGCUUCACUCCUAAUGAGGUUCUCGGACUCCACACUCAGCCCGGCUGGACUUCAAGUCGGGCUGGGUCUUACCCUUCAGGUGAGUGGCUAAGGGCAGGGGUGGGCUCUGCAGGCAGACAGGACUGGGUUUAAGUUCUGACUCUGGUCACCACCAGCCCUGUGACCUUGGGCAAAGCUCUGUGCUUCUCUAAGCCUCAGUUUCCCUGUGUACACAAUCUGCAUUAUGAUAGCACAAUUCAUAAUGCUGGCUGUCGUAAUGAGAAACAUGAGAUGAGCUAUCUUUUUAUUUUUUGUUCACCUCCACAGGCCAGCAUGGCCACGGAGAUAAAGGAAAGCCAGGUUUAUCUCUUCUCCCCUGGAGUAUCUGUUCCCUUAAGAGCCAAGAAGAGACAAGGAAGGUGGGAACCUGCAGAAAACAUAACCACAGUUCUAGUCCUGACGAUGCUUCUGCCUGGCUAUGUGAUCUCAAACAAGCCACUUAACCUCUCUGAGCCUUGUUUUCCUCAUCUGUAAAAUGGGAUAAGCAUGCAACUUCUCUGUGGGUAUCUGAACAGAACUUCUAAAAGUUCUGAGCAGACAUUUGUUGGUAUGCAAGGCAAUGAGUGGCCUCUGGGAGAAAGUUUAGAGAGGGAAAAUGAGAACAGGUUGCUCUUUCUGGUGACCAUGGCUCCCUGAUGGGGGAAGAGGAUUUAAGGACUGACAGGGAGAUUGUAAAACCUGAGGGAAAGAGGCAAGAGUGGGAGAGGAUCCUGGAAUUUAUCAACUAGGCUUGCUGGGAACUCACCAGAGGAAAUUACAGAGGACUACAGCAUGAAAGACUGAAGUCAGACUGGAAACAGACUUCCAGGCAAUCAGGCAACAACAGGCCUAGUCCUUCCUGAUAUCUUUGGCUGUACCUGAGUAAAACCCCAGGAAGGGACGCACAGCCUGACUGUGCUGGAAGGAAGGCAGAAGGAUGGACAGGGAGACCCUGAAGAUGCUUCCGCAGGACCAGAGAAGGAGGCAGCGGAGGCACAGCAGUCCCUCCCCGAGGCUUUCUUUGAGAUUCAUCCUCUGGAGGCCUUGUCGGAACCUACGGUGACCCUGAAGCAGGGGCCAUGUCCUCACAGACAUGCCCAGGUCAGCACUGGGCCACAGCUCUAUUAUUUAAGUGUUUCAUAAAAGAGCAAACCUCCGGGGCUGGAAGAAUGACCGGGAUCCUGACUCUUCCUGCACAGGAAAUGAAGUAGCUGUGUCCAAGCCCUGGCUUGACCUGCAGAGGACUCACCAGCUCUGGCAGAAGUUUCCCAGCCUGAGAGGGCCCUGCUGUGGCUGAGAUGAUGACACCUGGGCCCAGACUGGGUCCCUCCCCUCCACACAGAGCCAGGACCCACCGGUCCCUACACCCACUGCUUGUGGACUCUGCAGUGAUUUUACUGUAAUUUCCUCGUUGUUGCAGUUAAUAGCAUUAGUUUGUUAAUUACUGUAUAUUUUAAAAGUAAGACGAAAGGGAAUUCCCACUGGAGACUUGUUCUUGGCUGAAACAAUGUGAUAUGAGGGAAGGAAGAGUGUUCACGGGUAAUGAGCUUGCCCUGCUGCUUUCUGUUCCCUUGACAGUGCCUGGGGCCAGAGAUGGGGCUGCCAAGGUGGGAGGCAGGGGCCCCCCACAGAGCCCAAGCCCAUCCCUGGAGGGAGUCCUCUGUAGCACCCCACUUAACCCCAAAACCUCUGCCCGGGUCUUCUAUCCCCAGCCCUGCACUAUUGUCAGAGGGAGGCUUCAAGCCUCUAAGGAGGAGGGGUCUGCCUGAGGAGCCCUGGCACCGAGGGAACCAGACCAGAGUGAAAUAAGACACAAGGAAACCUGGCCUGUGACAAGGAGCAUUGAUUGAGUAGGAUGGAAUUUUUAUUAGGAAACAGCUGGAAUUUGGGGAGAGGCUGCUACAUUUAAAUUCAUCCUGAGACUGCAGCCCUAGAGGGGAAAUGGGAGUUGGGCAGGUGCGGCGGGGGGCGGGCAGGCACAGGUCUUGGCAGAGGCAGGAGCAGCAGCUUGUGGUUGUGCACAGAGAUCUGGCUGAGGGGGACAAGCAGGGCCUGCCAUUGAGCCCUGACGCUGCUGUCAGGGCUGUGGGCUGGGUCAGCUCAGAGGAAGGGUGCCUUUGGUAACUCAUCCAACUGAAGGGGGUUGGUGUGUGCUCCUAAAGCCCUGCAUGUUCAAGUUGCCCCCAUUCUCCCCACCCAGAGCCAUAAGGGAAUGGAGGCUGGGGCUGAGCCCCAGGACUCAGGAGGAGUUGGGGGCAGAGGCCGGAGAAGAGCAGAUAGGGAGAGAGAGGGAGGAAGGGAGAGAGACUUAAGACAGAGAAGGAUGGAGGACUGAGAAAGAAGUUCAUACAAUCUACAGGAGCUGAUUAAAAUCCUGGAAGAAAAUGUGAUGGAAAGACUUUCUAUCUUUCUAUUGAGACAUUUAACCUAAAAGAAAUGAGUUAAAUAAUUUAUACAGAGAACGAGUGAAAUUUGCUUUGAUCAAAUUAAAAAAUAUGACUCUGGAAGUAAAGUGUCCGCCACGUCCUUUCCAGGCAGCAGAAAGAGCUGCCGAGAAACAAAAUGACAAAGACAUAAAAAUAACUAACCCUAACCCGGCGAAUAUUAGCACCAUAUUUUUUGGGAGAUUACACGGCAUCACCGUAGGCCAAGCAGAGAAAUCCUCUCUAAGCACCAACAGGAGAGGUUUUGCUCAUUGAGGAAGCCCCAUAAAAGCCAAAAAACGGAUAAAAUUUUCCUUUGCAAAAGUGAUCCGACUUCACUCAGGGGUUGGCCCAGAAGCCACAGGGGAUCAAGUUAAAUUUCCCAUUUGUGCAUUUCAAAAAAAGAAGAAAGCCGCUCAGCUCCCCUCCCCAAUUCUGUGUUUCUUGAAGAUUAUUCCUCUCCCAUUUACACCGCCCCCACCCCCCCCCCACACACACACACACACGCACCUGCCCUUUCUAAAAAAAAUCCGGCAACACCUCAUUCCAUAAAAGUAAGUGUUCCGUUUCAUCUCCUCUUAGGAAACAUCACGGACAAGCUCCAAAACUCACAAGCUAUAAGCAUAAAUGCCAGUGACUUAACCUCUUGGAGCCUCAGUUUGCUACUCUUUAAAAUGGGGCUAGCAUCCACUGCACAGAGUCAUGGUGAAGAUUAAAACAGAUGAAUAGAACCUGGCAGAUGGAAUAUUCAGUAAGUGUUAUGAACACUGUCUUCCUCCUCGACCUAAAGAAAUAUCCAGCAAGUAUAAACCAAAAUGCCAGAGAUCUCUACCCCAGCUCUACCCCCACCUGGAAAGCCCAUGGUGGGAAACCAUUAGUCCAAUCCUGGAGAAAAUAUUUUAGCUUCACGGACAGCAGUCUCUCUGACUUUGGGGGCCCACUUGACUAAAAAAACCACUUUUGUUUCCAAAUAGCUGGGGAGAACAUCCACAGAUUAAAAGCAAGGGCUUCAGAGUCAGUACCAGGUUCAAAUUCUGACUUCACCACUUACUUAGCUGUGUGACCAUGGCCAAGUUAGCUUAAUCACUCCAAGUGUUACUUCAUCUGCAAGAUGGAAUAAUAAUGGAACAACUCUUAUGGGAUUGAACAAGAUAAGGGAUGUAAACAGGGUACCUACUGUAUAGUAAAAGUUCAAUAAAUGACAACAGA